rnacentral:lncRNA from 1 species
CAUAUAUGCAGGGAUGGGAAAUAUAACUUAAAAUCUCCACAAACUACUUGAGUUCACCUCAUUCCCGGAACGGCAUUAAGGAAGAGAAUUGGGAACACAUGGAGAAUGGAAAGCUGCAAACCUAAACAUCUACAGAACGUGGAAAGAACUAGGUGCAGACAAAGCUUGCAAAAGCUACACAAAAAGGACUCAAUAAAAAAAGAGAGAUGGCCUUGCUGAGAAGGUA